rnacentral:pre_miRNA from 1 species
CAGGUACUCCCUCCGUUCUAAAUUACUCGUCGCAGAAAUGGAUGUAUCUAGAACUAAAAUACAUCUAGAUACAUCCAUAUUUGCGACAAGUAAUUCGGAACAGAGGGAGUAUGAU